rfam:Xiphophorus maculatus strain JP 163 A Contig18452.1, whole genome shotgun sequence.
CCAACGGCCUUUUUAAAGGCCACCAAAUCUUUUUAAACACUUUUUU